rnacentral:rRNA from 1 species
AUCGCAUGAUUUGAUUAUUAAAGUUCCAACGGUAAAAGAUGAGUAUGCGUCCCAUUAGCUAGAUGGUAAGGUAACGGCUUACCAUGGCUACGAUGGGUAGGGGUCCUGAGAGGGAGAUCCCCCACACUGGUACUGAGACACGGACCAGACUCCUACGGGAGGCAGCAGUGAGGAAUAUUGGACAAUGGGCGCAAGCCUGAUCCAGCCAUGCCGCCGUGCAGGAAGAAGGUCCUAUGGAUUAUAAACUGCUUUUAUUACAGGAAGAAACACUCCCUCGUGAGGGAACUUGACGGUACUGUAUGAAUAAGGACCGGCUAACUCCCGUG